rnacentral:rRNA from 1 species
CGGCGGAGCAUGCGAUUAAUUCGAUGCAACGCGAAGAACCUUACCAAGGCUUGACAUACACCGGUAACGCCCAGAGAUGGGUGCCCCUUUGUGGUCGGUGUACAGGUGUGCAUGGUUGUCGUCAGCUCGUGUCGUGAGAUGUUGGGUUAAGUCCCGCAACGAGCGCAACCCUCGUCCUAUGUUGCCAGCGGGUCAUGCCGGGGACUCAUGGGAGACUGCCGGGGUCAACUCGGAGGAAGUGGGGAUGACGUCAAAUCAUCAUGCCCCUUAUGUCUUGGGCUUCACGCAUGCUACAAUGGCCGGUACAAAGGGCUGCGAUACCGCGAGGUGGAGCGAAUCCCAGAAAGCCGGUCUCAGUUCGGAUUGGGGUCUGCAACUCGAACCCCAUGAAGUCGGAGUCGCUAGUAAUCGCAGAUCAGCAACGCUGCGGUGAAUACGUUCCCGGGCCUU